CUCUGACGCGAAGCAGCUGCCCACAGAGAUGGUCUCCUCGGCCUCAGAGGUCACUGCCGGGCUGCUGUCCACACUGCUGUGGCUGCCAGGACUCAGGAGCAAACUCACUGCACAGGACACAGCAAGGACAGACAGCAGACAGACAGCAUGGCACGAACAAAACCAACAGAAGCCCUCACGCUCUGACUUGCGCGAGAACCUGACAGCAACACGAGGACAAGCACUUGAGGGAACGCAGGCUUCACGAGACACGCGGAGGAGGUGGGGACCAGUGGGGGCUGCGACAUGCUGGAUGCAGUGAGCGUCCCGGGGCGGGCCUGGCCCAGAGUCACUGCCCGAGCUGCACGCUUUCUGUCCACGCUUUCUGUCCAUGUUUUCUGCUGACUGCGUGAAAACGGUCACAAGGCUUCCAGGUCCCUGGGACUGGAGUUCAAAUCCCAGCAGAGCUGUUUCCUGCCUGAGCCUGGACAGUGCAGGGACUGUGCUCUGCCCCAGGGCCUUGUCCAGAGGCUUCAGGAGGGAUGGCCCUGAGCUCAGGCCUGAGAUGAGGAUUUCCAACUCAGGAACUUGGGCUGGCCAGUCCUGCACUCAUGGGAAGGGGGUGGACAUGUGUUCAGGGUUGGCCACGCCACUGAAUGGCUUGUCUGGCAGGCAGGCCAGCCUGGGAGGACAGGCAUGCAGGCAGUGACCCACAAAUGCCUGUCCAGUAUGCUCCUCAUCCUGCCUCCCCAGGGCUGUCCCUGAAAUGCACUGCCUUCCUGGAAGUUGGUACCCAGGGAGGUACGGGCUGCAGGCCCCAGGGAGCAGCCUCCCAGGUCCCUCCCCGGUCAAGGUUCCCUGAGGAAUGGAGUGCAGUGAGGUAGAGGCAGGGUGGGAGGACCGGGUAGCCAGUCUACUUUCCCCAUUCUCCCCCCCCCUCCCCCCGCUGUGCGGUCCUGGAGCUUGUUUGCGGGUUUGAGAUCCCUGCGAAGUUCUGAGGUCAAAAAUACCACAAAAAGACGGUGUAAAUCAGCCAAUUGUGAGCCCUUGAAUCCACACAACUUGAGAGGCUGAGCCACCAUGACCAAGAAACACAGCAAAUGCUUAAAAGUUUUAAAUACUACAGUAAAAGUCACAUAGCCACGGAGCUCCCACCACAGACACCCCUCAGUGCCGACACCCUCACCCCAUUGUUGCCUCUCCUGCACCAGCGCCGAUGCAGUCCUCCUUCCUGAGGGUCUUAGCUACGCUGACCGGGUCCUCCUGGUCCUGAAUGUCCCUGUCUCCCUCUCAUGGCUGUUUUGACCUCAUUGAGGAGCUGACAGGAGCUGCCUUGGGAGGUGGAGAGGAUAAUGGGGUGAGUUUGCCGGAAGGACAGGGAGGAUUUUGAGGGGGGGUUCAUGACAAGGUGGCUUUUACUGCAAUGCAUGUUUAGAUUGUUAUUUAAAACAUUAGUGUCUAUGUGCACUGUAUAACAGUUACGUUCCUCGGGAGCUGGUGCAUGUACACAUGGACAUUCUUUCUCCAUCCCCUCCUCUAAAUGUUCCUGUGCUGUUCAGUCACUCACACAUCCUCAGGGCACAAAUACAAGCACUUACAAAUGUGUAACAUGGGUGUAACAAGGUCGAGGCCCCCUCCUGCCUGCAGUUCCCAGCCCCCUGACAUUCUUCCCAUAGGCCCUCCUGGCUUGGUCUAGGGUCACCGGCCCACUAGAACCCUUGAGCCUACAAAUGCAGGAGAACGUGGAGCUAAUUCAGCCACCAGGUCGGGGGCUGUCUGGAAGGCCCAGUGCCCUGUGCCCGCAAGUACGUGCUACGCCGCUUCGCCAUAGACCUGGAGUUCUGGGACUCUGUGAUCCUGGGUCUUAGCCUGAAGUUGGGGCAGCAGCAGGGGGCACUGAGUUAGGAAUCUAAAUCCCACACUUCAGUCCCAGUUGUGCUCUCAACUUUGGGCAAGUGAAACAAGUACAUUGAUCCUGAUAAAUUUUAGAAUCCCUCAUAGAUCUAGAAUGUUCUUUGAAGUUUUGGGUCAAGAUACAGGAAGUAAACAUUGCUGUGCAGUUGACCAGUGACUAAUUAGGAAUUUCAGAAGGCACACAACAAGCUGGGUGUGGUGGCACACACCUGUAAUCCAGUAUUCUAAGAAGCCGAGGCAGGAGGAUUGCCAAGCUUCCACUCAGCCUGAGCCAUUUAGCAACUUGUUGAGACCUUAUCUCAGAAUUACAAGGAAAUCUGAAAAGGCUGGCAUGGUGUGUCAGUUCAACUAGUACUGCCAAGUAAGUAAACAAAUACAUGAAUAAUAAUAAACAGAACACAAUCCCUUCACCCUUCCUGACCCCUUCCAUUUGCUUAAAGGGAGUCUGUUGUUAUUUUUAGGUUAAUUAAUAUGCUGACAAGUUUGCUUUUCUCUUAAGGCGCGAAUGACCUUUUGUGAACUCAAAACUUAACACUGCAGGAUUUUCAAAAAUGUGAAAACAUGUAUUUAUUUUGCGUUUAGCAGAAGCCUAAUAUACAUUCAAGAUGAAAUUCUCUUCCAGAUGAGUUGCUCCAGAGCCUAUGAAAGGACUAUGGACCCUUCAUUUGUUCCCCCUUACAGAACCCCAAGUUCAAAAAGUGCCACUGUGUCUAAGUGGGGGCUCUGGAAAGUUCUCCAGAUCCAGUGUGAGCUUUUCUCUUACAUAGUCACCCAACAACAUUUCAAGCAUUGAAUACAAUGCCUGCUAGGGACACAUGAUCCCCAACUUAUAAGGGCUUGGCUUGCUGUCUUGGUCACUUUCCUGUCACUGGGAGACAGGACCUGACACCCACAGCCUAAAGGAGGGUGCUGGUUUCGGCUCACGGUUUCAGUCCAAGGCAGAGACGAGAUGGCCAAGGAACCUGGCUUUUAGCAGCCAGGAAUCAGAAGGAGAGGUGGGAGGGGAGACUCACCCUGGGGGUCACACCCCAGCGACCACCCUACCUCCCGAAAGCACCCCUUUAAUGGAUUCAUCACUGGUGAGCCCAGCGUGUGGCACUUCCAGAAAGUGCCAGCUCACAACACACGAGAGUUUAGAGCAGCGCUCCAGAUGUAGCUCACAACACUUACAGCCCUGCAGACCCAUCACAGUGCAGCGGUGGUAAACAUACAUCAGAAACCCCGUGUUUGGAAUUCUGAUCAUGGCCGGGGCUGACACCAAUUGCUGUCUGAUUUUCUCCCUUGACCGAACACCAGCGGUGACCCGUAGCACCCAGCAGGCCAUGAGGCCAGAGGGGCAGCUCUGUUCCCUGAGGAUACGGGCGGCAGGGUGUACCAGGUCCCUUGUGCCUGUGAUGUCCCCAGCUUAGCAUGUGUCUGUUGCGAGGUGAACCUUCCUGCACAGAGGGGCCUCUGUAUUCUCUCAAUGGAUUCGCUUUUAUUGCUGUGUUACUAAACACAAAUUGGA